rnacentral:rRNA from 1 species
AGAGUUUGAUCCUGGCUCAGAACGAACGCUGGCGGCAGGCCUAACACAUGCAAGUCGAGCGCACUUUCGGGUGAGCGGCGGACGGGUUAGUAACGCGUGGGAACGUGCCCAGAUCUAAGGGAAUAGCCACUGGAAACGGCGAGUAAUACCUUAUACGCCCUUCGGGGGAAAGAUUUAUCGGAUUUGGAUCGGCCCGCGUUAGAUUAGAUAGUUGGUGGGGUAAUGGCCUACCAAGUCUACGAUCUAUAGCUGGUUUUAGAGGAUGAUCAGCAACACUGGGACUGAGACACGGCCCAGACUCCUACGGGAGGCAGCAGUGGGGAAUCUUGGACAAUGGGCGCAAGCCUGAUCCAGCCAUGCCGCGUGAGUGAUGAAGGCCUUAGGGUCGUAAAGCUCUUUCGCCAGGGAUGAUAAUGACAGUACCUGGUAAAGAAACCCCGGCUAACUCCGUGCCAGCAGCCGCGGUAAUACGGAGGGGGUUAGCGUUGUUCGGAAUUACUGGGCGUAAAGCGCGCGUAGGCGGACCAGAAAGUUGGGGGUGAAAUCCCGGGGCUCAACCCCGGAACUGCCUCCAAAACUCCUGGUCUAGAGUUCGAGAGAGGUGAGUGGAAUUCCGAGUGUAGAGGUGAAAUUCGUAGAUAUUCGGAGGAACACCAGUGGCGAAGGCGGCUCACUGGCUCGAUACUGACGCUGAGGUGCGAAAGUGUGGGGAGCAAACAGGAUUAGAUACCCUGGUAGUCCACACCGUAAACGAUGAAUGCCAGUCGUCGGGUAGCAUGCUAUUCGGUGACACACCUAACGGAUUAAGCAUUCCGCCUGGGGAGUACGGUCGCAAGAUUAAAACUCAAAGGAAUUGACGG